ACGAACGCUGGCGGCACGCUUAACACAUGCAAGUCGAACGAGAAAAGAGGAGCUUGCUUUUCUGAUCUAGUGGCGGACGGGUGAGUAACACGUGAGCAAUCUGCCUUUCAGAGGGGGAUACCGAUUGGAAACGAUCGUUAAUACCGCAUAACAUAAUUGAACCGCAUGAUUUGAUUAUCAAAGAUUUAUCGCUGAAAGAUGAGCUCGCGUCUGAUUAGCUAGUUGGUAAGGUAACGGCUUACCAAGGCGACGAUCAGUAGCCGGACUGAGAGGUUGAUCGGCCACAUUGGGACUGAGACACGGCCCAGACUCCUACGGGAGGCAGCAGUGGGGAAUAUUGCACAAUGGAGGAAACUCUGAUGCAGCGAUGCCGCGUGAGGGAAGAAGGUUUUAGGAUUGUAAACCUCUGUCUUCAGGGACGAAAAAAGACGGUACCUGAGGAGGAAGCUCCGGCUAACUACGUGCCAGCAGCCGCGGUAAUACGUAGGGAGCGAGCGUUGUCCGGAAUUACUGGGUGUAAAGGGAGCGUAGGCGGGAUCGCAAGUCAGAUGUGAAAACUAUGGGCUUAACCCAUAAACUGCAUUUGAAACUGUGGUUCUUGAGUGAAGUAGAGGUAAGCGGAAUUCCUAGUGUAGCGGUGAAAUGCGUAGAUAUUAGGAGGAACAUCAGUGGCGAAGGCGGCUUACUGGGCUUUAACUGACGCUGAGGCUCGAAAGCGUGGGGAGCAAACAGGAUUAGAUACCCUGGUAGUCCACGCCGUAAACGAUGAUUACUAGGUGUGGGGGGACUGACCCCUUCCGUGCCGCAGCAAACGCAAUAAGUAAUCCACCUGGGGAGUACGACCGCAAGGUUGAAACUCAAAGGAAUUGACGGGGGCCCGCACAAGCAGUGGAGUAUGUGGAUUAAUUCGAAGCAACGCGAAGAACCUUACCAGGUCUUGACAUCGUAUGCAUAGCUCAGAGAUGAGUGAAAUCUCUUCGGAGACAUAUAGACAGGUGGUGCAUGGUUGUCGUCAGCUCGUGUCGUGAGAUGUUGGGUUAAGUCCCGCAACGAGCGCAACCCUUACUGUUAGUUGCUACGCAAGAGCACUCUAGCAGGACUGCCGUUGACAAAACGGAGGAAGGUGGGGAUGACGUCAAAUCAUCAUGCCCCUUAUGACCUGGGCCUCACACGUACUACAAUGGCUGUCAACAGAGGGAAGCAAAGCCGCGAGGUGGAGCAAACCCCUAAAAGCAGUCUUAGUUCGGAUUGUAGGCUGCAACCCGCCUACAUGAAGUCGGAAUUGCUAGUAAUCGCAGAUCAGCAUGCUGCGGUGAAUACGUUCCCGGGCCUUGUACACACCGCCCGUCACGCCAUGGGAGUCGGUAACACCCGAAGCCUGUAGUCUAACCGCAAGGAGGACGCAGUCGAAGGUGGGAUUGAUGACUGGGGUG
rnacentral:rRNA from 1 species